rnacentral:misc_RNA from 1 species
UUAGAAGCCGAAAGGCUACUUAAAACCAUCGCGAGCUCGUCCAAGUUGCUUCGGCGGCGCGGCCUCCCUCACGGGGGCGCCGCAGCCCCGCCUCUCCGGAGGUGCGGGGCGCCCGCCGGAGGUACGAAACUCUGUAUUAUAGUGGCAUCUCUGAGUAAAAAACAAAUAAGUUA